rnacentral:rRNA from 1 species
GACGAACGCUGGCGGCGUGCUUAACACAUGCAAGUCGAGCGGUAAGGCCCUUUCGGGGGUACGACGAGCGGCGAACGGGUGAGUAACACGUGGGUGACCUGCCCUCAGCUCUGGGAUAAGCCUGGGAAACCGGGUCUAAUACUGGAUAUGACUCCAUGACGCAUGUUGUGGGGUGGAAAGCCUUGUGCGGCUGAGGAUGGGCCCGCGGCCUAUCAGCUUGUUGGUGGGGNGAUGGCCUACCAAGGCGACGACGGGUAGCCGGCCUGAGAGGGCGACCGGCCACACUGGGACUGAGACACGGCCCAGACUCCUACGGGAGGGCAGCAGUGGGGAAUCUUGCGCAAUGGGCGAAAGCCUGACGCAGCGACGCCGCGUGAGGGAUGACGGCCUGUGUAAC